rfam:Homo sapiens chromosome 19, GRCh38 reference primary assembly.
GCUGGGUGUGGUGGUGGGCGCCUGUAAUCCCAGCUACUUGGGAGGCUGAGGCAGGAGAAUUGCUUGAACCUGGGAGGUGGAGGUUGCAGUGAGCUGAGAUUGCACCACUGCACUCCAGCCUGGGUGACAGAGUAAGAUUCUGUCUCCA